rnacentral:sRNA from 1 species
CAUUUUCAGUAAAGAAGUCCUGAGUAAACACGUUGUCGUUGAAUACUGCUUCUCUGCCGAACCUUUUAUUAGUGCCUCAUGCAGUAAUGUCUCAGUUUUCACUCAAUGAAGCCUGCGGGCGAAGAAUACAAUUUAAGGAAUUUGCAAAAUGGCAAAGAUCAAAGGUCAAGUUAAGUGGUUCAACGAGUCUAAAGGUUUUGGUUUCAUUACUCCGGCAGACGGCAGCAAAGAUGUAUUCGUACACUUCUCUGCAAUCCAGGGUAACGGCUUCAAAACUCUGGCCGAAGGCCAGAACGUAGAGUUCGAAAUUCAGGACGGCCAGAAAGGCCCGGCAGCAGUUAACGUAACUGCUAUC